rfam:Ktedonobacter sp. 13_2_20CM_53_11 13_2_20cm_scaffold_315, whole genome shotgun sequence.
UGAGGAAGACAGGCAAUCGCGAGCUGCAAAGCUCGAGGAAAGUCCGAACUCCAGAGAGCAGGAUGCUGGCUAACGGCCAGUGAGGGUGACCUCAAGGAAAGUGCCACAGAAACAUACCGCCCGGUAACAUCAUUACGCCAUAACUUGUUGCCGGGUAAGGGCGAAAUGGUGAGGUAAGAGCUCACCAGCAGUCAGGUGACUGACUGGCUGGGUAAACCCCAUCCGGAGCAAGACCGAACAGGAGGAAUAGCAGGUCCCUUCGCGGACCCGCUUGCAGGUUGCUCGCCUGUUAACCUCCGGGUAGGUCGCUUGAGGCGCCGGGUAACCGGCGUCCUAGAUAGAUGAUUGCCACCUGUGCUGCCGCGAGGCAACACAGGGACAGAAUUCGGCUUAUGGCUUGCUCAAACC